ensembl:lncRNA
GCAGUUCCCCUGUAGACACACGUGGGGGCGCUGUUCUGUCUUGUUGAUGGAGCAUUGAGCGACGAGAAGAAGACUGACGUACCUAUAAAAGGCGCGGUUCAGAGACGGGUGACUAGUUGUUGAUGCAAUGACACUGAUGGAAGAACUUUUAAAACAUAUUAGGCGUUCAAAUACACACAAGAGCAGAAAGAAAAUUCUGAAAUGGAUGCAGAAACGUGGUAUCCUGGCGACGACGAUGAAGUGCGCAAAAUGCAACCGUCACAUGCAUCUGGUGAAAUGCCAUGUCAAGGAUGGGCUGUGGUGGGUCUGUAAGCAUCAUAAAAGUUUCCCAAAGUAUGUACGUAAUGGCUCAAUAUUCACCAAGUCUCACAUCCCUCUGACAAAAUGGCUUGAGUUCAUGCACAGGUCUGCAUUGCUGCUGUCAAGCGACAGAGGAAAAGAUGUAUGAGGAUUGGUGGUCGUCAUCAAGUUGUUGUUAUUGACGAGAGCAAAUUUGCCCACAAACGAAAGUACCAUCAUUGUCGAUGUGGCAACACUUGGCGCCGUGAACGGCAGUGGGUCUUUGGGAUGUUGGAGGUCGACAAGAAGUCCAGAAGACCCAUUCUGAGACUUGUCAGGGAUCGCAGAAGGAAGACACUUAUAGGUCAUAUUAGACGCCAUGUCAGACCCAGAACAUCCAUCCUCAGUGAUGAAUGGCGUGCCUACAAAGGGCAACUUGCCCAGUAUGGGUAUGAUCAUUAUUCGGUCUGCCAUAAAAACAACUUUGUGGACCGAGAGACUGGUGCUCAUACUCAGCAUAUUGAGCGUGCAUAGUAAAGCUACAAGCUGGAAGUAUGGCGUCACAGAGGGAAUCGUACUCCUGAAUCACUCAAGCUUCAUCUUAAGAUGAUAGAAUGGCACCACUGGUUGGGUGUACACCAUUACAAUGGCGUGUUGGGCAGACUUUUCCAUGAUUUUUUUUUUUUUUACUUUACUUUUUACUGAUGUGAAAAAACUUGUUUUUUCACAUCAGUAAAAAGUAAAGUAAAAAAAAAAAAAAUCUCAACAAUGUCUGCUGGCAUUUAUGCAUCUAUGUUGUGGCGUUAAACUCAUUAUAUGUUCUCCUGAGCAGAUCCUUGCUUGUGUUUUACAAACUGUCACUGGAUGAACAUCACAACAAAAUGUUUUGUUUUGAAAUACAUAAAGGAAAAACUAU